GUUUAAAUGAGGAAAAGUUGAUUUUUCCUUUUUCCUUUUAAAUUCUUUUUCUCUUUUUCUUAUUUCUUAUUCUGUUUUCUUUCUCGCCGAAACAUCUCCGCGCGCCUCUUCUCUCCCUCACUCCCGAACCCGACGCCAAGAGCCCUAACCGCCGGCUACUCGGCGGUUCUCUCUUCUUCUUCCUCAUCCCUUGCCCCUCACGAGGACAGCAUCCUCUGCCCUAGCCUUGCCGUGGAGUUCCCAGCGCCGUCGCCGCGACAGUUUUCCCUCUCCUCAGCCGUGGCCUAGGAGCAAGGGCCGACCGACUGUUCUACCUCCUGAUCGUCGGCCAUCAUCACUCGACUGCCAUCAUUCAUCGCCGGAGGUGCUUCUUGUGUUUGUGGUCAUUGUGGUCGUAGGAUUCUACCGAGCCUCUUCCCCAUCGGUUGAUUGUUGACGCUGGGCCCUGGUUCUUUUCUCCACUGCCGGCUUCUUCUUCCAUUAGCCACCGACAGAGAGGGAACGAGGGGCACUGGUUAGGAGAGGCAGAUUUGAGUAGCAGUAACUUCUAGUUCCGGUCAUUAUAUCACCAAGGCACGCGUCUCCGACAGUGACUCAACAGUCGGGCAUACGCAAUUGGGAGCUUGACGCGAGACGUGUUUCUCAAUUAUUGGAUUUGGACCACUUUAUUGGAGGCGGGUACUUUGACUUGUGUCUUUUGAUAUGCAUGAUAAUAUGUUUAACAUAUAACAGUAAUUGUG